AAUAAGAUUAUUUUUUAGUUUUUAGAUACAAUGUUUCGAAUCUUCGCCUUAUUUAAUUUCUUUUGCGAUUACUAUUUUUAUUGUUCCUAGAUGAUAAAACAUGAAUAAUACUUUAUGCGUGACUAUUUUUUAAAAUUUUUGUACAAUUUUUUUAAAUAAGACGAAUGAUCAAAUUUUGAACACAGAAAUCAAAAAAUAAAAUUAUU
rnacentral:pre_miRNA from 1 species